UCAGGUAGGAUUACCCGCUGAACUUAAGCAUAUCAAUAAGCGGAGGAAAAGAAACUAACAAGGAUUCCCCUAGUAACUGCGAGUGAAGCGGGAAGAGCUCAAAUUUAAAAUCUGGCGUGCCUCUGGUCGUCCGAAUUGUAGUCUGGAGAAGUGUUUUCCGUGUCGGACCGUGUAUAAGUCUCUUGGAACAGGGCGUCAUAGAGGGUGAGAAUCCCGUCUUUGACACGGACUACCGAUGCUUUGUGAUGCGCUCUCAAAGAGUCGAGUUGUUUGGGAAUGCAGCUCAAAACGGGUGGUAAAUUCCAUCUAAAGC
rnacentral:rRNA from 12 species